AUAAAAAGGUAAAUAUCUUAAAAAAGGCAAAUAUCUUAAAAAAGGCAAAAAAGGCAACAUCAAACCUGUAUAUGUGGAAUCAGGGAAAGUUAAAUCGUGGAUAUUCUUAAUCGAAUAUACUCUAUCUCUCUAGCAGAAAAAAAGGUUAUUUCCAUAAAAUCCGU